rnacentral:rRNA from 1 species
UCCAGACUCCUACGGGAGGCAGCAGUGGGGAAUAUUGCACAAUGGGGGAAACCCUGAUGCAGCGACGCCGCGUGAGCGAUGAAGUAUUUCGGUAUGUAAAGCUCUAUCAGCAGGGAAGAAAAUGACGGUACCUGACUAAGAAGCCCCGGCUAACUACGUGCCAGCAGCCGCGGUAAUACGUAGGGGGCAAGCGUUAUCCGGAUUUACUGGGUGUAAAGGGGGCGCAGACGGCGAUGCAAGCCAGGAGUGAAAGCCCGGGGCCCAACCCCGGGACUGCUCUUGGAACUGCGUGGCUGGAGUGCAGGAGGGGCAGGCGGAAUUCCUGGUGUAGCGGUGAAAUGCGUAGAUAUCAGGAGGAACACCGGUGGCGAAGGCGGCUUACUGGACCAUGACUGACGUUGAGGCUCGAAAGCGUGGGGAGCGAACAGGAUUAGAUACCCCAGUACC